UUGGAGGGCAAGUCUGGUGCCAGCAGCCGCGGUAAUUCCAGCUCCAAUAGCGUAUAUUAAAGUUGUUGCGGUUAAAAAGCUCGUAGUUGAAUUUCGGGAUCAGUACGCCGGUCGUGCCUUCGGUAUGCACUGGUGUCACUGGUUCCUCCCUUCUGAAGAACCAUCAUGCCAUUCAGUUGGUGUGGCGGAGAAUCAGGACUGUUACUUUGAAAAAAUUAGAGUGUUUAAAGCAGGCUCGCGCUUGAAUACAUUAGCAUGGAAUAAUGAAAUAGGACGUUUGACCCUAUUUUGUUGGUUUCUAGGAUCGACGUAAUGAUUAAUAGGGAUAGUUGGGGGCAUUAGUAUUCAAUUGUCAGAGGUGAAAUUCUUGGAUUUAUUGAAGACUAACUACUGCGAAAGCAUUUGCCAAGGAUGUUUUCAUUAAUCAAGAACGAAAGUUAGGGGAUCGAAGACGAUCAGAUACCGUCGUAGUCUUAACCAUAAACUAUGCCGACUAGGGAUCGGAUGAUGUUAAUUUUUGAAUGACUCAUUCGGCGCCUUACGGGAAACA
rnacentral:rRNA from 1 species